rnacentral:rRNA from 2 species
GACUCUCGGCAACGGAUAUCUCGGCUCUCGCAUCGAUGAAGAACGUAGCGAAAUGCGAUACUUGGUGUGAAUUGCAGAAUCCCGUGAACCAUCGAGUCUUUGAACGCAAGUUGCGCCCCAAGCCUUCGGGCCGAGGGCACGUCUGCCUGGGUGUCACG